rnacentral:misc_RNA from 1 species
GCUAUAGAUAUAUAUAUAUAUAUAUAGAGAGAGAGAGAGCUAUAGACAGAUAGAUAGAGAGAGAGAGAGAGCGCUAGGAAAAAGUUUAAAAACUUGUCGAAGACAAAAAAAAACUGUAAGUCCAGAGGAUUAGAGAAGAGGCAAAACAAUGUCGUUGCGUACUCUGCCGGCCCUGAUUUUAAAUCUUGGAGGAGAAAUGAUGUACAUCUUAGACCAAAGGCUUCAUGCACAGAAUGUGAUGGAAGACAAAACACAAAAAGUUCUGCAGGAAAUCGUUGGUACGAUGUUCAGCAAACAUUUCAUGGAUGAGUUAUUCCGUUUACAGCCUGUUUACUCCAAGAAAGCAAUGAGAGCAGUCUUUGAUCGUAUUGCACAUUCUUCUGUCAUGCGUUUGAAUGCUGCCAGCAUGGACAAAUUAUAUGAUUUGAUGACAAUGGGUGUGAAGUACCAAUUUCUGAUGUGUCUCCAGCCCAAAGAGAUCCUCUUCAUUACAAUGAACCACCUUGAGGGCAUUAUGGAAAUGGUCAAGGACAACGCCAGCACAUUCCAGCAGGUGACGAACAUCAGCAGAAAGUUUAUCAAGAUGUAUUCUGAGUUAUCAGAUGGUGAAUUUCAGCUUUUGCGUCAGACGGCGUUAAGUUUCUUCCAAGAUAUUCACGUCAGGGUAUCCAUAUAUUUAAAAGAGAAAAUUCAAAAUGCUGACGGUUCAUUUGUUUUGUCUCGGUCUGGUCAAGUGGCAUGGAAUACGGAGAUUCCUAUUGUUAUUAGGUCUUUUGAUGAAAACGGCAAACUUGUGAAAUCCAUCUCUGCAAAUCCUGGAGGUCGGUACUUACCAUCAGCGAAAGGGUCCAUAGAGCCAAAAGGGGACCGAGGAACAAAACUGGGAUGUAACAUAUAUUCCGAUGACAAUCACAUUGUAACUGCUGAUGGCAAAAGCAAGAGUUCUUUAUCCUGUCGAGGUGGACCAGACGGGACAGAUAACAGUUCUGAUGCUAAUGCACUGGCCCAGCUACAGCUUCUCUCCCGUCUGAUUGGAAUGGCAAGUACGUCACAGAAACCAGAAAUAGAACUGAACCUGUUCUGUUCAACUCCAGAGGACAAAGAUGAUGAUGAAAACACCAUCACUCCACCUGCUAUUAUCAGAGAUGCUACAAAACCCUUGGAGAUUAUGAUUGAUGCCUCAAAGAAACAAUCAAGUGAUGAACUGAAUCGGAUCAUGGGAGAAAUGUCUGUUGAGGUGAACCCUGCAUCAGAAGUUGAGGAAGACCUGUUGGACUUAAUGGAUGCUGCUCAUUGAAAUGUGUAUAUAUAUGUGGGUUGAAAAGGACAUUACAGCUUCUACAAUGUUGCAGGAUUCAUUAAUCCCUACACGAAUACCAUACACAUAUUUGCAGUGCCUUUAGUGAUAAUGGCUGAAGUUUAGUGACACUCACCUUAUAAACUUUAGGAUGUCACAGCCACACACGUAACAGAGUGAAGUGUAACAGGGACAUCAAUAAUGAGCCUAAGAUAAAUCAUACCUAGGAUCUUUAACCAAAAGACCUACCAUUCCUUGUAUCUUUAGCAGAAGAUCAGUCAUACAUUGGAUCUUUAGUCUAAGAUCAAUCAUAUCUUGGAUCUUUAGUCUAAGAUCAAUCAUACUUUGGAUCUUUAGUCUAAGAUCAAUCAUAUCUUGGAUCUUUAGUCUAAGAUCAAUCAUAUCUUGGAUCUUUAGCAUAAGAUCAAUCAUACUUUGGAUCUUUAGCUGAAGAUCAAUCAUACCUAGGUUCUUUAACCAAAAAUCAAUCAUACCUUGGAUAUUUAGUUGACGGUCAAUCAUAUCUUUGGAUCUUUCCCAAAAAUCAAUCAUACUGUGGAUCUUUAGCUUAAGAUCAAUCAUGCUUUGGAUCUUAGCUUAAGAUCAGUCAUAUCUUGGAUUUUAGCUUAAGAUCAAUCAUAACUUGGAGUUUUAACCUAAGAUUUGCCCCAACUCACGUCCCACAUACUAAUCCCAGAUUAAAGAUUUGUGGUAUCUUUUAUACUUAAGAUAACAUUUUGCAAUGUGAUCAAACUUUAUGACUGAAUCACACUACUUGGGGGUGGGGUGCUUUAAUGAUUUCUUUCUAUACUUCAUAGAUAAUAAUAUUUUCAUAAUUAUCUAUAACUAAUCAAUUAGAUAUCCUAGAACAGCCCCUGCAAAUUACUUUACCAUAUGACACUAAAUUUUAUGAUUACAGUGUCAUUUCUUGACAAUGUUGCUUCCGUCGCCAUAUCAGUACUAAGAUUUGUAGUUUCCAUCAUUGUGACUCAUCUUAUGAUACUCCUUCUGUCACCAUCACAACAAUGUGACUGAGCAGAUGUGGGAGUCUCUAUGUAGCCACUUAACUUGCUAGAAAUAGUGCUCCAAUCUUUAAAUUACAACCUACUGUCUUAAAAUAAAAGGCAAAUUGGAUCAUGAUGUAAUGUCUUAAAUAUAUAACACCUGAAAAAAAAAAAGACAUGAUGGUCAUGUCUGGAAUGCCUUUUCUUAUAGGCCUAUUCGGUCAGGACUGACCUGGGUUUCAACAAUGAUAAGGCAAUACCACCUGCAACAGACUUAGAGGUGGUUGUCAUAGUUACAGUGGUAAGGAGGAAUUGUGGUUGUUGUAGUGUGGGAAUUGUGGUUGUCAUAGUUACAAUGGUAGUGGGAACUGUGGUUGUCAUAGUUACAAUAGUUAUAGUGAAGUCCUAGAUGCUUUUCAAAAAAAAAAAGAUUGGAUGGUCAUUGGAUUCGAAGGAUAAUUGAUUGCUAUUUCUA